rnacentral:rRNA from 1 species
GAUGAACGCUGGCGGCGUGCCUAAUACAUGCAAGUCGAGCGAACAGACGGGGAGCUUGCUCCUCUGACGUUAGCGGCGGACGGGUGAGUAACACGUGGAUAACCUACCUAUAAGACUGGGAUAACUUCGGGAAACCGGAGCUAAUACCGGAUAAUAUAUUGAACCGCAUGGUUCAAUAGUGAAAGACGGUUUUGCUGUCACUUAUAGAUGGAUCCGCGCCGCAUUAGCUAGUUGGUAAGGUAACGGCUUACCAAGGCAACGAUGCGUAGCCGACCUGAGAGGGUGAUCGGCCACACUGGAACUGAGACACGGUCCAGACUCCUACGGGAGGCAGCAGUAGGGAAUCUUCCGCAAUGGGCGAAAGCCUGACGGAGCAACGCCGCGUGAGUGAUGAAGGUCUUCGGAUCGUAAAACUCUGUUAUUAGGGAAGAACAAAUGUGUAAGUAACUAUGCACGUCCUGACGGUACCUAAUCAGAAAGCCACGGCUAACUACGUG